AAUACAUUUUAAUUACUCGAAGAUAAAAGGGAGCCUCAGAUAUAAUUUGCUACUCGUUCUCUUUACAGAAGACGAAAUGUUAAGAAAGGAGUUCAGGAGGAAAUGCUUGCGAGGGAAUUUAUAACCACUUCUUUGCUUCUGGGAAUGCCUGAUGCCGACGGGUUUGAACUGGAGGCUUCCUUGUUUGUUCAUUGGAAAGGUGUUUACCCAAGAGAAAUAAAUGUCCCCGUUUAAAGACUAGUCCACAAAUGUGCACAGUAGUAUUUGUUACAUACGAAGGCUGGAAAAAACCCAGAUGUUCAUCACAAGAUGGGGAAUACAGCAUUUGCGGAAUGCAGUACCUACAUAUGGGGAGGACCAACUUCUACUGUAUGCAAGAUCCCAGCACCCAUGGCGGGAAUUGAGUAUGUUCAUAUUUUGGAAUGGGACACAUCCUGAAAUCAAUCUUUCACUUACACCGUGAGAUGAUGAUGAUGAUGGUAUGUGAGUGUGUGUGUGUGUAUGUGUAUCUGUGUGUGCAUGCGUGUGUGUGUGUGUGUUCAGAGUAAUUACACCAGGGAGAUCUAUGUGAUGAUGCUUAUGUUGAAUACAAAAUCAGCUUACUACUAUACAUUUCCUCUUUGCUGCUCAUGAUCAAUUAUGUUUUAGAAACACUGUGCCUUUAACAACUACUUUACAAGUCAGCUUCUGCAGCCCAGAAAAGUAUUGAAAAUUUUAACUAAGUUCU
rnacentral:lncRNA from 1 species